GACGAACGCUGGCGGCGUGCCUAAUACAUGCAAGUUGAGCGCUGAAGGAUGGUACUUGUACCAACUGGAUGAGCAGCGAACGGGUGAGUAACGCGUGGGGAAUCUGCCUUUGAGCGGGGGACAACAUUUGGAAACGAAUGCUAAUACCGCAUAAAAACUUUAAACACAAGUUUUAAGUUUGAAAGAUGCAAUUGCAUCACUCAAAGAUGAUCCCGCGUUGUAUUAGCUAGUUGGUGAGGUAAAGGCUCACCAAGGCGAUGAUACAUAGCCGACCUGAGAGGGUGAUCGGCCACAUUGGGACUGAGACACGGCCCAAACUCCUACGGGAGGCAGCAGUAGGGAAUCUUCGGCAAUGGACGAAAGUCUGACCGAGCAACGCCGCGUGAGUGAAGAAGGUUUUCGGAUCGUAAAACUCUGUUGGUAGAGAAGAACGUUGGUGAGAGUGGAAAGCUCAUCAAGUGACGGUAACUACCCAGAAAGGGACGGCUAACUACGUG
rnacentral:rRNA from 1 species